rnacentral:rRNA from 1 species
UAGUCCUAGCUGUAAACGAUGGGCACUGGGUAGAGGGUGUUUCGACACAUUCUCUUCCGGAGCUAAUGUGUUAAGUGCCCCGCCUGGGGAGUACGGUCGCAAGGCUAAAACUCAAAGGAAUUGACGGGGGCUCACACAAGCGGUGGAGCAUGUUGCUUAAUUCGAAGCAACGCGAAGAACCUUACCCGGGUUUGAAGUGCUGGGAUUAGCUGCCUGAAAGGGUAGUGACGCCUUCGGGUGGAACCAGCAUAGGUGUUGCAUGGCUGUCGUCAGCUCGUGUCGUGAGAUGUCGGGUUAAGUCCCUGAACGAGCGAAACCCUUGUCCCUAGUUGCCAGCACUUAGGGUGGGGACUCUAGGGAGACUGCCGUUGUUAAAACGGAGGAAGGUGGGGACGACGUCAAGUCAUCAUGGCCUUUAUGUCCGGGGCUGCAAACGUGCUACAAUGGCCGGUACAAAGGGAAGCGAUAUCGCGAGGUUGAGCAAAUCCCACAAAGCCGGUCUCAGUCCGGAUUGGAGGCUGC